AUGAACGCUGGCGGCGUGCCUAAUACAUGCAAGUCGAGCGAACAGACGAGGAGCUUGCUCCUCUGACGUUAGCGGCGGACGGGUGAGUAACACGUGGAUAACCUACCUAUAAGACUGGGAUAACUUCGGGAAACCGGAGCUAAUACCGGAUAAUAUAUUGAACCGCAUGGUUCAAUAGUGAAAGACGGUUUUGCUGUCACUUAUAGAUGGAUCCGCGCCGCAUUAGCUAGUUGGUAAGGUAACGGCUUACCAAGGCAACGAUGCGUAGCCGACCUGAGAGGGUGAUCGGCCACGCUGGACCUGAGACACGGUCCAGACUCCUACGGGAGGCAGCAGUAGGGAAUCUUCCGCAAUGGGCGAAAGCCUGACGGAGCAACGCCGCGUGAGUGAUGAAGGUCUUCGGAUCGUAAAACUCUGUUAUUAGGGAAGAACAAAUGUGUAAGUAACUAUGCACGUCUUGACGGUACCUAAUCAGAAAGCCACGGCUAACUACGU
rnacentral:rRNA from 1 species